ACCAUAUGAUUCUCAUUAUUCUAUUUCUCUCUCUUUCCAACCAGCAUUCCCUCUUAUUAUGAUUGGAGUGAUGUGUGGUACCGAGGAUAAUGCAAUUGAUGGUGCUUGUGGCCCCACGGAAUGACUGUAUAAAAGGAAAUAGGCAACAAGGGAGUUUAGUAGACUAAAGAUACUGCCUUUAUCCCUCUGCGGCCUUUUUUAAGUCGAGUCAUAAGGAAAGAUCGAUAGGAUUUGGUCCAUUUGGUGUCCUUCCAGACGGAGAAGCGAGAACCCUUUCUGCUUUGACCACUUACCCUCCUGGCACAGAUGUGGGAAAAUGUCUCAGUUGCGGAAUCAAAUAUGAAUGAAGUUAGAACAAUCAGCGUAAGCUCUUUCUCUAGGGCCACUAUCAAUAAUGACAAGAACUAUUACUAACUAGCUUAAUGCAUCCGGUCUCCUUCUCCUUCGUACCCCUAGCGGAUAUGAAUAAUAGGAAGAAACAAGUCCUUUCUAAAGGCGGGCAGUAGACCAGAGUUUUGUCAGCCGAAGAAGAUCGAUAAAGCUUAGAACUUGCUCGUUUGCAGGAGGAGGCGGUGGUAUGACUCCGUCCGUUGAACGAGCAUCUCGUGCCACCUGUUCGGCGUCCACAUCCACUACAAUUUUAUGAUCCCAGUAUCUAUAGCAAAAUCGCUAUUUGCCUCGCUCUAUAGAAGGCCUCCCGUAUGUAAGAUCACCAACCAAGUUCCUUUCUUCUUUUGUUUGUGCCAUCUUUACUAACUUCUACUUCUUGGUUGGCUUGAUGCUUACAGGUCUUGCCUCCGCUGAUACUGGUCAUGGGGACAAGAACUCCGUGGGAAGAGAGCAGAUACCAAUCCUAAACAACCCUUAGAAUGGCCUCAUCCAAACAGAUGAUUGUCAUUGAUAAGACGGGUAGGUGGUAUGUUGAUACUGAGCCGCUUCCCCUCUAGUUGUUAGCUCAUUCUUAACAAAUUCGAUCGGGUCUUCAUAAUCUGGAGUAAAAUGAUUCGAAUCUUUGCAUGCCCA
rnacentral:lncRNA from 1 species